AUUGAACGCUGGCGGCAUGCCUUACACAUGCAAGUCGAACGGUAACGCGGGGCAACCUGGCGACGAGUGGCGAACGGGUGAGUAAUGUAUCGGAACGUGCCCAGUUGUGGGGGAUAACUGCUCGAAAGAGCAGCUAAUACCGCAUACGACCUGAGGGUGAAAGCGGGGGACCGCAAGACCUCGCGCAAUUGGAUCGGCCGAUAUCAGAUUAGGUAGUUGGUGGGGUAAAGGCUCACCAAGCCAACGAUCUGUAGCUGGUCUGAGAGGACGACCAGCCACACUGGGACUGAGACACGGCCCAGACUCCUACGGGAGGCAGCAGUGGGGAAUUUUGGACAAUGGGCGCAAGCCUGAUCCAGCCAUGCCGCGUGCGGGAAGAAGGCCUUCGGGUUGUAAACCGCUUUUGUCAGGGAAGAAAAGACUCCUGUUAAUACCGGGGGUUCAUGACGGUACCUGAAGAAUAAGCACCGGCUAACUACGUGCCAGCCGCCGCGGUAA
rnacentral:rRNA from 1 species